CCUACGGGCGGCAGCAGUGGGGGAUAUUGCACAAUGGGGGAAACCCUGAUGCAGCGACGCCGCGUGUAGGAAGACGGUCCUCUGGAUUGUAAACUACUGUCCCCAGGGACGAAGAUGACGGUACCUGGGGAGGAAGCUCCGGCUAACUACGUGCCAGCAGCCGCGGUAAUACGUAGGGAGCGAGCGUUGUCCGGAAUUACUGGGUGUAAAGGGAGCGUAGGCGGGGAUGCAAGUUGGGUGUUAAAUCUACGGGCUCAACUGGGAGUCGCACUCAAAACUGCAGCUCUUGAGUGAAGUAGAGGCAGGCGGAAUGCCUAGUGUAGCGGUGAAAUGCGUAGAUAUUAGGAGGAACACCAGUGGCGAAGGCGGCCUGCUGGGCUUUUACUGACGCUGAGGCUCGAAAGUGUGGGGAGCAAACAGGAUUAGAUACCCCGGUAGUC
rnacentral:rRNA from 1 species